CUUUCUGUCUCCACAACAAUUACCGAGAUUUAUUUUUUAUUGCUCUGCUUAACUCUGCCAGGACCACACUUCCUUUUUCUUCUUAAAGGAACAGCCGGAGGAGCAGAGGGGCCGAGGAAGCGAGCACUUUUGGUCACAAACAUGAAAAGACACAAGGCUGCUCAUCUCCUCCGGCGUCUGCUCUCCUCGGCCGACGCACGGGCUCACCGGGAGACGCGGCCGCAGCGCCCAGGCGGGGCAGCCUUGUUAAACUUGUCCUUCCCCAGGGGUUCUGCAGGGCGCUGCUGGGGGCCUGGAAGCUCUGUGCUCUCAGCAGCAGGCGCCCGGAUUGCUGGUGUAGUGAUGGGCAUGGAGUCAGGGUGCCUCUUUCUCAGAGUUGAUGUGGUUUUCCUAGAUGACUGUUCAGAAUGGAAGGGCCCUUUUGGGGAAUCUAGGUGGUCCAGGAUGGGCUUGCCCGUGUCCUUCCUGGGAAGCCCUUUCCUAUGGAGGCCAAGGGCCCUGGGGUCACUACCCGGAGAUGCAGGGUCUUUAACCAGCGAGGCGACAGCCGUGUCAUGACCAGGAUGUCGUUCCUGGUCCUCCAGGUCCAGGCCGUGUGGCCCCAGAGGGUUCCUCAUCAUCUCUGGGGCCCAGUCACAUUCUUGGAAAGCAUCAGCCUCCCUGGGCUGUCGUGAGGGUCCCCCGAGACCAGGGACAGGGAGGGGCGUGCGCGCCUGGCAGCCCUCCCCACGGCCGGCUGGAAAACGGCCCCAACUUCAGAUGAGAGAUGCCCCUGGAUUCCCCGGGUGGGGCCACUGUAGUCACAGGGUCCUUACCAGCAGACAUAGGGCCUCAGAGAGAAGUGACGCGGGGCCACUGGCCGCCCCCACAGGCUGCUGGACACAGGGCCAAGGAACACAUACUCCCCGGGACUCUAGAAGGAAGCGCUCUGCCGACACCUUGACUUGAGCCGUCGGACUUCCUGCCCCAGACGGAGAGAGUAAGUGCGCGUUGUUCGAAGGCUCGAGGUCGUGGCCGCUUGGUGGAGCAGCCACAGGAGGUGGGUACAGUGUCCGGAGCCGCCAUCCCCACCAGCAGGGGAAGCGAGCAGAGAAUGCCACGCCGCGCCCCUCCCCGCACUGUCCCCCCAAGGUCCCUGUUGGCCUCCAGCGCCCUGAGGCCGUCAUUCGCUCAUUCCUUCUCCGCGCUGACCCCUCAGGCUCCCCCGCCUCAGGUCUGCGCCCAACCCAGCAGCUGAAGUCGCCCUUGAAAAGCAGGUCGGGUCACAGCCCCUAUGCCUGAACCCGCGCCGUCCUCUGACCCCGCUCCGGCCCCAGAACCCGGCACCCCUGUCACUUGCCGCUCACCUCCCCCGCCAGUUUCUGGUACUUAGUAAGUGCUCAGAAAACUCUCUAGCGCCCAAGGACAGGGAGUGUCGUCUAUGCAGUUCGAGGCCGCAGUCCCAGCCCUCACAGCAGCACCCGGCUUACCGGAGGGUCCGCAGAUACCCGGCCGGCGGGCGACCCGUGGCCCUCGGCUCUGCCUCCCAGGGGCCUGCAAGGGGCCUCGGGACCUGCAGCCUCUUGUGCAAGAAGAUAACCCCAUCGUGUCCUGGCGGAGUCAGCGUUGGAAAUCUUCACAGAAGUGGAAGGAAUUAGGGGAAAUCAUCCGUCAGCCCCGGACACGCAGGCUGUGGACACGCCGUCGCACUUCCUCCUGCUCCUGCUUUCUGUGUGCAUCUGUACAUGGUGACAAACAAAUUUCAGUGCAACUGGGCUGCUGCUUCAAUGAGACAGAAAUCCAUCUUGAAAGCAUCCUACAGUUUCCACACGCGUGGAGGCCCCCAGGCACGUCCACCCGCCAGCGAGGGGCGGGGAGCAGCCGCGGGGCCUGGUCUGGGGCGGCAGGGGCUCUGGCCUAGCUGGUGCCGGGAGCCCGCGACCCGGAUGCCCACACGGGGGACACGGCUGGGACGGGCGUGCACCUGCCGAGAAGCCCGUCUCUCGGCCUGGCCCUGUCCCCUGGGGCAUGGUGGGAAAGCAGGGGCCUGCACCCGACCCCCAGCCCCAGGAGUGGCUCCAGGCCGGCGGGCAUUGGGACGAGGCCGUGGGUGUUUUGGGGAGAAAUGAUGCACCCCGACGGCUGGAGGCGCGGGGCCGAUUCAGGCCUUGUGGUAGCCGCUGAUGUCAUUUCAGAGAAGGAGCUAAGAAAGCUGUUUUGUUUUUCAGACUGUGUCUCUGAAAUUGUCUUCUUCUUUUUUUUAAAUCUGAUUUUAUCCCAGAGUGGAUGUUCCAAACCCCAAACCUCUAAUCCAGGCUUGCUUGAAGGCCCCUGCCCUGGCCGGCGCUGGCGCCGGGUGCAGGGUGCCGGCGGGGAGGCCAGAGGUCACCCGGUUCAGCCCGCCACAGAGCUGGGGCCGGCAGGGGGAGCCCCCCAGGGAGACCCUCCCCUGCUGCCGGGCUGUUGGGGGGCCUGGGGUGGGGACGGCUGGGGAGGCCAGAGAGAAGGGCCAGCCAGGAGGCAUUUGUGGAGGGGCACGCGUCUUCCAGAAGGCAGCUGUCGGUAUCCAAGAAUGCCACAGAGCGCCUUCCAGAAUUCUCUCUUCCGGGUGUGUGGGGGAGGCUCACCGUUGGCUGACAUGCUGGGAACGUUGGGACGGCUACGUCUGGGCUGGCACUCCCUGCCCCGCACGAGCGGGGGAGCGGGAGGGGAGAGGCGCAGGGAAGCCCCGCCUGCAGGCCAUGGGGGCGGGAGGGGUAACCGGAGGCCUCCUUCCGGCCAGAGAGCCCCCAGGGACCCUCUUCCUGUCCUCCCGUCGGCCCUGCGGAAAGGGACUGA